GGUACCAGCAAGAGAAACGAAGAAAAAAAACGUACACAUGACCCAGCCUCCCGAUCCCCUUGCAGCCGUCAUCGCCGCCCGACCAUGGAGUCCCGGCCGCCAGCUCCCCGGAGAUUUCCGCCUCCCUAAAAGUCCAGAUCUCCAGUCCAGCGCGCCGCCACCUCCUGCCCCGCACGCCUCACCUCGCGCCUCCGGUCCGCCCCCCGUCGCCGCACGCCGUCAGUCCCCGCCCCCUGUCGCAGCGCGCCGCCGGACCGCCUACCGUCGCUGGCUCUCCCCAGCCCUGAGGUCACAUCUCUUCCGAAGAUCCUCUCCAACUCAUAGUUCCUCGCAGAGGGCACCCGCUCGCACCGGCGUGUUAAGAGGAGGUAGGUCGCCCCUCCUUGCGGACGCAUGGACGAGGGUCUCACGCUGCCGCCGGUAGCGGCAACUGCAGCGGACCACGUGCUCUGGCGUAGUCAGGGGAAAGCAGCGGCUCCGACUCCAAUGUUGGCCUUGGCGGAAGCACGAAGGGGUCACACUGGGCGGCACUGUGGCAGGGGACAGGGUGCUGGGUUUCGCGGUAAGAUCGUCUAUUGGUGGAUUCCGUCUGGAUUGGAGCAGCGCAACAGGAAUAGGAUCGCGGGUGGUGGUGGUCCAGGACGUGGGGACGGGGAGAGGAGAGAUAGCUGUGAGCACGAGGUCCUUGCUGGCUGAAUCAAAUCGAAGCGCUCCGUCCAUCUCUAUUGGCCUUGGACGAACAAGGCAAUAAGGUACAGGACGAACAUGAAGAUAUAAGGAUGGGAGAUCAACAUAGUGUUGUUUUCUCUGGUGAAUGUGAAGUUCCGGUCUAUCUAAAAAGCAGCUAAUGUCUAGCAAUCUGCAGCAAGAACUCUAUCCACUCAUCUGGUCCAACAUACACCCAUGGAAUUCUCCAUCCACAUCUCUCUGUUCGUGAAAGCAACUGCUAAAUUUGUAUGCAUUGCAGCAGUCGGCCAGAGGCUUCCAGUUUUUCAUUUGAAUGUGCUAGAGAGAUGUUUCUUUGCUUCAUUUUCAUUUGAAUGUGCUGAUGAAGAGUUGAAGCUAGAAGAAGCCCAACCGUCAAAUAAUCCUGAAGACCUAUGGAUUUGUCACCGAAGUGUUGAGCUUAGUAAGAGAUGACAUAAACUGUGAGCUUUCAUCCGACAAAGUUGUGCUGGUGUCUGGUUGGAAAACAUGUUUCCUAUUACCACCACCCCUAGCAGCUCACAUUUGUUUCGUAAUAUCUCUAGCAAUUUCUCUAAAUCCAUUUUUUAUAUGGCCUGAUGAUUCAUCAUCAAAUGCCACGCAUGUUGUGUGCCUUCAGAAUGAGGUGUUUCAUGUGGAAGGCCAAAGGAUCCUUCAGUUUGCUUUCUCAAUGUUUGACUAAAUAUUUCAUUCAUGUUCAACAGACCUUAUGAGAAAUCGACGGAGGCAGUGCGUGAGCUAGCUUCCUUGUGGCCGGAUUGAUACAGGCACUGCAUGAGGAACCGAGCCACCGAUGCAGGUCGGCGCUGGCUCCAUUGCACAUGGCAGCCGCCACCACACCUGCCGUCUCCGCAUCUGAACAACCGCUGCUUUGUGAGCCGCCUCAUCUAGCGAGGAUGCUGCUGCUGCUGAGGACGCAGGAGCCGCCUCAUCCGGUGAAGACUCGCCGCUGUUCCAC